rnacentral:rRNA from 1 species
GAUAAACGCUGGCGGCACACAUAAGACAUGCAAGUCGGACGAAUAGAAAUCUGGUAUUUAUAUUAGAUGGAAGUUAGUGGCGGACUGGUGAGUAACACGUGAGCAACCUGGCUAUAAGAGAGGAAUAACAUUGAGAAAUCAAUGCUAAAACCGCAUAAGAUAUUAAUAUUGCAUGAUAAAGAUAUCAAAAGAGAAAUCUGCUUAUAGAUGGGCUUGCGUCUGAUUAGCUAGUUGGAGAGGUAACGGCUCACCAAGGCGACGAUCAGUAGCCGGACUGAGAGGUUGAACGGCCACAUUGGGACUGAGAUACGGCCCAGACUCCUACGGGAGGCAGCAGUCGGGAAUAUUGCGCAAUGGAGGGAACUCUGACGCAGUGAUGCCGCGUAUAGGAAGAAGGUUUUAGGAUUGUAAACUAUUUUAGACAGGGAAGAAAGAAAUGACGGUACCUGUAGAAUAAGCCCCGGCAAACUAUGUGCCAGCAGCCGCGGUAAUACAUAGGGGGCAAGCGUUAUCCGGAAUUAUUGGGUGUAAAGGGUGCGUAGACGGGAGAAUAAGUUAGUUGUGAAAGCCUGCUGCUUAACAGCAGAAAUGCAACUAAAACUAUUUUUCUUGAGUAUAAGAGAGGAAAGCGGAAUUUCUAGUGUAGCGGUAAAAUGCGUAGAUAUUAGGAGGAACACCAGUGGCGAAGGCGGCUUUCUGGAUUAAAACUGACGUUGAGGCACGAAAGUGUGGGGAGCAAACAGGAUUAGAUACCCUGGUAGUCCACACUGUAAACGAUGGAUACUAGGUGUAGGGAGUGUUAAAGCUAACUGUGCCGUCGCAAACGCAAUAAGUAUCCCACCUGAGGAGUACGGCCGCAAGGUUGAAACUCAAAGGAAUUGACGGGGGCCCGCACAAGCAGUGGAGUAUGUGGUUUAAUUCGAAGCAACGCGAAGAACCUUACCAGGGCUUGACAUGCAGGUGAAGUAGUAAGAGAUUGCUAUGUCCUUCGGGACACCUGUGCAGGUGGUGCAUGGUUGUCGUCAGCUCGUGUCGUGAGAUGUUUGGUUAAGUCCAGCAACGAGCGCAACCCCUGUAUUUAGUUGCCAGCAGUAAGAUGGGCACUCUAGAUAGACUGCCGUGGAGAACACGGAGGAAGGUGGGGACGACGUCAAAUCAUCAUGCCCUAUAUGUCCUGGGCUACACACGUACUACAAUGGCCGUGACAGAGGGAAGCGAAGCAGUGAUGUGGAGCGGAACCCAAAAAGCGGUCACAGUUCGGAUUGAAGGCUGAAAUUCGCCUUCAUGAAGCCGGAAUUGCUAGUAAUUGCAGGUCAGCAUACUGCAGUGAAUACGUUCCCGGGC